CAUAGUUUCAAAGUAUCUGGAGUGAAGUCAAACCACAGUGGCUCUCAGCUGUGUUUCCUUUUACUAUUUCCCCAGGUACUCCCAGCACAGCACUCUGUAACUGGAUAUUCUUUAAGGGAUUUUUUUAAACUGUAAAAGACUGUUUGUAGCUUUAAGAAUUACCCCUAGGGGGCAUUAAGCCAUGAAAACAAGAGCAUGCAAUUGUCAAUGCUGAAAUCUUUGUGACUGCAAGCUGUUCCCAGAAGCAGGAAACCGAUAUAAACCGAUGCCAACAGCUAUUUCAGCACAAUGGAAAAACUUGAUUCUAAAUAUGAUGAAUUAACAGAGCAAGAACAAUGGAAUACUAAAAAUAGUGAGCUCAAGGAACAUCUCUAGUCUAGAUAGGCUUGAUGGAAUUGAUUGUUCUUUAAAAUGUCAAUAGAAUUAAAGUAAAUAUAAUCAUA